GGGAAAGCUGCUGAUCUGGUCGUCCACCACGCAGCGCGUGUCGUCUCCGGUGCUGCCCAGCGGACCCAGGAACAGCUGACCCUCUUUGGUGUAGCGUCCCAACUGAGCGAAGACAAGAAAAAAACAUCAUAAGAGGAUUACAUGUGUAAUUCGUGUCGCCAGGACCUAUUUUUCAGCAAGAGAUGAUGCCACUACAACAAAAAAUUUCAUCUUGAUCUGAAGUUUCCCUACUCCUUCAUUAAAGAGAUUCCUUCAUGCA